CCUACGGGUGGCAGCAGUGGGGGAUAUUGCACAAUGGGGGAAACCCUGAUGCAGCGACGCCGCGUGAGUGAAGAAGUAUUUCGGUAUGUAAAGCCCUAUCAGCAGGGAAGAAAAUGACAGUACCUGACCAAGAAGCCGCGGCUAACUACGUGCCAGCAGCCGCGGGAAUACGUAGGGGGCAAGCGUUAUCCGGAUUUACUGGGGGUAAAGGGCGCGUAGACGGUUAUGUAAGUCUGGAGUGAAAGCCCGGGGCCCAACCCCGGGACUGCUUUGGAAACUGUGUAACUGGAGUACAGGAGGGGCAGGCGGAAUUCCUGGUGUAGCGGUGAAAUGCGUAGAUAUCAGGAGGAACACCGGCGGCGAAGGCGGCCUGCUGGACUGAAACUGACGUUGAGGCACGAAAGCGUGGGGAGCGAACAGGAUUAGAUACCCCGGUAGUC
rnacentral:rRNA from 1 species